rnacentral:lncRNA from 1 species
AAAAAAAAGGAAUUAAUUCUAUGUUGUAAAGGUAAAUUUUACAUACAUUUUAGAACACGAUUUUGUUGAUAACAUUAACAUACAUAAUAUUUUAAAAAAUAACGAAAUAAAAAAGAAUAUAUAUUGAGAGAGAAAUGAUUAUAAAAUAGUAUACUCCUUUUUAACUUAUAUUGAUUAGAACAGUUGAAGAGAAAACAAAAAAAUGAAGAGUAUAAAC